rnacentral:lncRNA from 1 species
UCACCCAUCCUAAAACUACUCUCAUUCUAGGAUACUUAACUCUCUUAACUUCUUGGGCAUAGUCACCACCCAAAAUAUUUAAACCAGGUUAAGAGUUUAGCCUUAUUAUAUCUUAUAGGCUAAAUUACACAAAAUCCCCCUGUUAAAACCCGAUUUUUUACUUUCCCCCCUGUCAUUUAAAAACCUACAUUUUGCCCCCUUAUAAAAUAAAAAUUAUUCACAGGAGGAUACAGUGUGAACUGUGAUGAUAAAAUGAUCAUUUUGCCCCUCACCAUUUUACCCCUCACCAUAUUCACGGAAGAGAAGGCUGAGAGCAUUUUUGGCAUAAAAAAAUAUAUAAUAAUAUUUUAUAAAUAGAACCCUAAUGGAUUACUAACUGCAGGGGGCGAACUGAACAUUUUUCAUUUUACAAGGGGGCAAAAUAUAGGUUUUUAAAUGAUAGGAAAAAAAAGUGAAAAUUCGGAUUUUGACAGGGAGGUUUUAUGUAAUUUAGUCUAUCUUAUAUAUAGAACUAUAUGGAGUCUCACAAUCUCCCCCCUUUUAAGUUCUGACGUCCUCGUCAGAACUCAGACUCACAAGUAUCAGGCGAUGUAAGACUCGUCUCGCUAGCCUUGUCAUUCCGACCCGACUCAGCCGAAACUCAUCUAACACUUCCGACUAGUAAUUGGCUCUGAUACCAACUGUAACGCCCCAACUUUCUAAGGGCCACCCAUUCAUAUAGGACUACUCUUGUCCUAGCAUGCUUAGCUCUCUUAAUCUCUUGGGCCUAGCCACCACACAAAAUGCUUAAGCCGAGUUAAGAGUUUAGCCCUAUUAUAUCUUAUAUAUAGGACUACCUAUUACCUGGGGUCUCACAUCCAAAGUACUAGCAGUAGCAGUAGUAAUAGUAAUAAUAAUCUAUCUAACUACAUUAAAGGAUGGUUUGGGGGGACCACAGGGUGACACGUGUCCCCGCAAACCCCCCAUUCUCUCUCCCUCUAUAUAUAUAUAUAUAUAUAUAUAUAUAUAUAUAUAUAUAUAUAUANAAAGGAGCAAAACGAAAAUACCAAAAGAGUGAAGGACUUUAGCGUAAAAGUAUUUUCAGGGAUUAUUUUUAAUUUUAGGAGAAUUUUAUUCGGAGCAGAAGUGCUUGUGGCGCGUUUUUUAGGUUUUUUUUUUUUUCCUUUUUUAUUGUUCAAAAUUUUCGUGUUCUUAAUUUUCUACUCUAACCCUUAGAAAUUAAUUCUAGGGAGUUUAGCCAUGUAUUUUCCCAGACACUUUUUUCUUUCUAUCUGGAAAAAUCCAAAACAAAAAAGAGUUCUAAAAAUUACAAUGGGGCUGUCCUGAAUUGUAAUUCUUUAAAAAAAAAACUGUCCUUAUUUGCGAUUUGAUAGAUCUGAUAUUUCUGGAGGUGUGGACCAGGUGCACGUAGAUCAUGUGUACAAGCAAACAAGAAGGCGAUUCCUGUUGUCCAUCGGAUGCACGUGAUGAUCAUUUGUAUCUAAUAAUUAAUCUCCCAUCCAAUUUUACAAAAGGUCGUUUGCGGUGCUGCUUACUACGAUCACCACCGUUUGAUCUCGGCCAAACCAAUCGAACGGCCCAGAACUCAAAAACACUGCUCCUGCAGGUACACAGAAGGUUACCGCACAGAGGAAAAAUUUUAGAAUGUAACGGGUAUAUUGGUGACGUGACGUAACAAAC